UACGGAGGGAGCUAGCGUUGUUCGGAAUUACUGGGCGUAAAGCGCACGUAGGCGGCUUUGUAAGUUAGAGGUGAAAGCCCGGGGCUCAACCCCGGAAUUGCCUUUAAGACUGCAUCGCUUGAAUCCGGGAGAGGUGAGUGGAAUUCCGAGUGUAGAGGUGAAAUUCGUAGAUAUCGGGAAGAACACCCGUGGCGAAGGCGGCUCUCUGGGACGGUAUUGACGCUGAGACGCGAAAGCGUGGGGAGCGAACAGG
rnacentral:rRNA from 1 species